rnacentral:rRNA from 1 species
UACGGAGGGUGCAAGCGUUAUCCGGAAUUAUUGGGCGUAAAGCGUCCGCAGGCCGUUUAUUAAGUCGAAUAUUAAAUCUUGAAGCCCAACUUCAAGGCUGUAUUCGAAACUGGCAAACUAGAGACUUCCAGAGGUAUGUGGAAUUCUGUGUGGAGGGGUAAAAUCCGUAGAUACACAGAGGAACACCAAAAGCGAAGGCAGCAUACUGGGGAAGUUCUGACGCUCAUGGACGAAAGUGUGGGUAGCGAACGGGAUUAGAUACCCUGGUAGUCCACGCCGUAAACAAUGGAUACUAGGUGUUGGAGGACUCGAUCCCUCCAGUGCCGACGCUAACGCAUUAAGUAUCCCGCCUGGGGAGUACGAUCGCAAGAUUAAAACUCAAAGGAAUAGACGGGGACCCACACAAGCGGUGGAGCAUCUGGCUUAAUUCGAUAAUGAGCGAGGAACCUUACCUGGGUUUGACAUCCCGAGAAUUCUUUAGAAAUAAAGAAGUGCCUUACGGAACUCGGUGACAGGAGCUGCAUGGUUGUCGUCAGCUCGUGCCUUGAGGUGUUCGGUUAAGUCCGUGAACGAGCGCAACCCAUGUCCUAUGUUGUAUUUUUCAUAGGAGACUGCCGAUUCAAAGUCGGAGGAAGGUAUGGAUGACGUCAAAUCAGCAUGGCCCUUAUGUCCAGGGCUGCACAGGUGCUACAAUGGCUGAUACAGAGGGUAGCAAUAUUGUAAAAUGGAGCCAAUCCUUAAAAACAGUCUAAGUUCGAAUUGAGUGCUGCAACUCGCACUCAUGAAGUUGGAAUCGCUAGUAACCGCGCAUCAGCAAUGGCGCGGUGAAUAUGUUCCUGGGUCU